rnacentral:rRNA from 1 species
UCCUGGCUCAGGACGAACGCUGGCGGCGUGCUUAACACAUGCAAGUCGAACGGGGCAUAGAGAUAUGCCUAGUGGCGGACGGGUGAGUAACACGUGAGCAACCUAUCCUAUACAACGGGAUAACACAGAGAAAUUUGUGCUAAUACGGUAUAAGACCACACUCCGGCAUCGGAGAGGGGUAAAAGCUGAGGCGGUAUAGGAGGGGCUCGCGGCCCAUUAGCUAGUUGGAGAGGUAACGGCUCACCAAGGCGACGAUGGGUAGCCGAUCUGAGAGGAUGAACGGCCACAUUGGAACUGAGAAACGGUCCAAACUCCUACGGGAGGCAGCAGUGGGGAAUAUUGGGCAAUGGAGGCAACUCUGACCCAGCAACGCCGCGUGAAUGAAGAAGGUCUUCGGAUUGUAAAGUUCUUUAGCGAGGGACGAAAAGAAUGACGGUACCUCGAGAAUAAGCCACGACUAACUACGUGCCAGCAGUCGCGGUAAUACGUAGGUGGCGAGCGUUGUCCGGAAUGACUGGGCGUAAAGGGAGCGUAGGCGGCACAACAAGUUAGGAGUGAAAUACCGUGGCUUAACCACGGAACUGCUUUUAAAACUGUUGAGCUAGAGUGAUGGAGAGGAAAGCGGAAUUCCUAGUGUAGCGGUGGAAUGCGUAGAUAUUAGGAGGAACACCAGUGGCGAAGGCGAUUUGCUGGGCCAUUACUGACGUUCAGGCACGAAAGCGUGGGGAGCAAAUAGGAUUAGAUACCCUAGUAGUCCACGCCGU